CACAGACAGGGUGCUAUUCUCAUGCUGAUGUUCAAGGUCAGAAUACACAGACAGGGUGCUAUUCUCAUGCUGAUGUUCAAGGUCAGAAUACACAGGCAGGGUGCUAUUCUCAUGCUGAUGUUCAAGGUCAGAAUACACAGACAGGGUGCUAUUCUCAUGCUGAUGUUCAAGGUCAGAAUACACAGACAGGGUGCUAUUCUCAUGCUGAUGUUCAAGGUCAGAAUACACAGACAGGGUGCUAUUCUCAUGCUGAUGUUCAAGGUCAGAAUACACAGACAGGGUGCUAUUCUCAUGCUGAUGUUCAAGGUCAGAAUACACAGACAGGGUGCUAUUCUC
ensembl:lncRNA